AUGCAGACUAGAUGGGUACCGCCGCCGCCUGGAGUGUCAAAGGUCAGAGUUGAUGGAGCAACCGCGAGAAACACCCUGGAUGGUUCGUUCAGCGAUGUAUGCAGAGACGAUACCGGGUUAUUCUUAGGAGCCUCGGUGAUCAAGAUGCCAGGUGUGGUGGAUCCGGCUACUCUGGGAGCUUUGGCGUGUCGUGAGGCGCUUGCUCUAGCGUCGGACCUGCAUAUCUCGCGGGUUGUUAUUGCUUCAGACUGCCAGGGUGUGAUCAGGGACAUCAAAGAAGGCACAACAGGAUUGUAUGCUAGUACUAUCAAGGAGGUUAAUGAGACGGCAAGAGACUUUGAUCAAUGCACCUUCAUCUUUGAGGGUAGAUCGACAAACAUCGAGGCACAUAGCCUUGCUAAAAACGCUUUCAUACUACAUUAUGGGCGCCAUUUGUGGCUCAUAAACGCACCAGAUAUUCAUUGUAUUCCUAUGAACUUUUAUAAUUAA
rnacentral:rRNA from 1 species